GUGAGACCGUGCUGAGGUACCAGCCCCUCCAGCACGCUUGCAAAUCACUGCCAGGUAUACACUUAAAGGAAAGCCAGCCUAAAAGCAUGUGAGUGUCUGUCUGUGUAAGCAAAGUAGUGAUGAUCAUUUUGAUCAGCCCUGCCACCAGCCCUGCCAGCCCUUUUCCCACUGCACACAGGAGCACAUCCCAUAAAUAUGGAGUGACUGCAGCCAGCCAUCUGCAAGGGAACCAACAUUCAGCUGCAAUAAGCAGAUCUGCAGAGCAGCACACUCCUUUACCCAGCCCAGCUCCUGCCAGGCUCUGAGGAGUGCCCAGUCUGACUGGUGCCCACAGCUCUGCUCCCACAGAAUAAACCACAGACCACAGGAUGGAUCCAGCUGGGAAAACCCACCCAUGCUGCUCCAGGAAUCCGUAGGAAUGCGGGGGAAACAUGGCCUGGGGAUGAUUAACCCUAGUGCACCUCAGAAGGGGGAAAAGAGCUGAUGGCUUCAUCUUCAGAAAUGGACCACAGGGACUAGGACACCCCUGAAUUUUAU
rnacentral:lncRNA from 12 species